rnacentral:rRNA from 1 species
GGGUUGUGAGGUUAAGCGACUAAGCGUACACGGUGGAUGCCCUGGCAGUCAGAGGCGAUGAAGGACGUGCUAAUCUGCGAAAAGCGCCGGCGAGGUGAUAUGAACCUUUGACCCGGCGAUGUCCGAAUGGGGAAACCCAGUGUGUUCCGACACACUAUCGUUAACUGAAUACAUAGGUUAACGAGGCGAACCGGGGGAACUGAAACAUCUAAGUACCCCGAGGAAAAGAAAUCAACCGAGAUUCCCCCAGUAGCGGCGAGCGAACGGGGAGCAGCCCAGAGUCUGAAUCAGCUUGUGUGUUAGUGGAAGCGUCUGGAAAGUCGCACGGUACAGGGUGACAGUCCCGUACACGAAAGCACACAGGUUGUGAACUCGAAGAGUAGGGCGGGACACGUGGUAUCCUGUCUGAAUAUGGGGGGACCAUCCUCCAAGGCUAAAUACUCCUGACUGACCGAUAGUGAACCAGUACCGUGAGGGAAAGGCGAAAAGAACCCCGGCGAGGGGAGUGAAAAAGAACCUGAAACCGUGUACGUACAAGCAGUGGGAGCACCUUCGGGUGUGACUGCGUACCUUUUGUAUAAUGGGUCAGCGACUUAUAUUCUGUAGCAAGGUUAACCGUAUAGGGGAGCCGAAGGGAAACCGAGUCUUAACUGGGCGUUAAGUUGCAGGGUAUAGACCCGAAACCCGGUGAUCUAGCCAUGGGCAGGUUGAAGGUUGGGUAACACUAACUGGAGGACCGAACCGACUAAUGUUGAAAAAUUAGCGGAUGACUUGUGGCUGGGGGUGAAAGGCCAAUCAAACCGGGAGAUAGCUGGUUCUCCCCGAAAGCUAUUUAGGUAGCGCCUCGUGAACUCAUCUUCGGGGGUAGAGCACUGUUUCGGCUAGGGGGCCAUCCCGGCUUACCAACCCGAUGCAAACUACGAAUACCGAAGAAUGUUAUCACGGGAGACACACGGCGGGUGCUAACGUCCGUCGUGAAGAGGGAAACAACCCAGACCGCCAGCUAAGGUCCCAAAGUCAUGGUUAAGUGGGAAACGAUGUGGGAAGGCACAGACAGCCAGGAUGUUGGCUUAGAAGCAGCCAUCAUUUAAAGAAAGCGUAAUAGCUCACUGGUCGAGUCGGCCUGCGCGGAAGAUGUAACGGGGCUAAACCAUGCACCGAAGCGGCGGCAGCGACGCUUAUGCGUUGUUGGGUAGGGGAGCGUUCUGUAAGCCGUUGAAGGUGUGCUGUGAGGCAUGCUGGAGGUAUCAGAAGUGCGAAUGCUGACAUAAGUAACGAUAAAGCGGGUGAAAAGCCCGCUCGCCGGAAGACCAAGGGUUCCUGUCCAACGUUAAUCGGGGCAGGGUGAGUCGACCCCUAAGGCGAGGCCGAAAGGCGUAGUCGAUGGGAAACAGGUUAAUAUUCCUGUACUUGGUGUUACUGCGAAGGGGGGACGGAGAAGGCUAUGUUAGCCGGGCGACGGUUGUCCCGGUUUAAGCAUGUAGGCGGAGGUUCCAGGUAAAUCCGGUACCUUAUUAACGCUGAGGUGUGAUGACGAGGCACUACGGUGCUGAAGUAACAAAUGCCCUGCUUCCAGGAAAAGCCUCUAAGCAUCAGGUAACAUCAAAUCGUACCCCAAACCGACACAGGUGGUCAGGUAGAGAAUACCAAGGCGCUUGAGAGAACUCGGGUGAAGGAACUAGGCAAAAUGGUGCCGUAACUUCGGGAGAAGGCACGCUGAUAUGUAGGUGAAGCCCCUGCGGGUGGAGCUGAAAUCAGUCGAAGAUACCAGCUGGCUGCAACUGUUUAUUAAAAACACAGCACUGUGCAAACACGAAAGUGGACGUAUACGGUGUGACGCCUGCCCGGUGCCGGAAGGUUAAUUGAUGGGGUUAGCGGCAACGCGAAGCUCUUGAUCGAAGCCCCGGUAAACGGCGGCCGUAACUAUAACGGUCCUAAGGUAGCGAAAUUCCUUGUCGGGUAAGUUCCGACCUGCACGAAUGGCGUAAUGAUGGCGGGCUGUCUCCACCCGAGACUCAGUGAAAUUGAACUCGCUGUGAAGAUGCAGUGUACCCGCGGCAAGACGGAAAGACCCCGUGAACCUUUACUAUAGCUUGACACUGAACACUGGUCCUUGAUGUGUAGGAUAGGUGGGAGGCUUUGAAGUGUGGACGCCAGUCUGCAUGGAGCCGUCCUUGAAAUACCACCCUUUAAUGGCUGGUGUUCUAACGUAGACCCGUAAUCCGGGUUGCGGACAGUGUCUGGUGGGUAGUUUGACUGGGGCGGUCUCCUCCCAAAGAGUAACGGAGGAGCACGAAGGUUAGCUAAUCUGGUCGGACAUCAGGAGGUUAGUGCAAUGGCAUAAGCUAGCUUGACUGCGAGAGUGACGGCUCGAGCAGGUGCGAAAGCAGGUCAUAGUGAUCCGGUGGUUCUGAAUGGAAGGGCCAUCGCUCAACGGAUAAAAGGUACUCCGGGGAUAACAGGCUGAUACCGCCCAAGAGUUCAUAUCGACGGCGGUGUUUGGCACCUCGAUGUCGGCUCAUCACAUCCUGGGGCUGAAGUAGGUCCCAAGGGUAUGGCUGUUCGCCAUUUAAAGUGGUACGCGAGCUGGGUUUAGAACGUCGUGAGACAGUUCGGUCCCUAUCUGCCGUGGGCGCUGGAGAAUUGAGGGGGGCUGCUCCUAGUACGAGAGGACCGGAGUGGACGCAUCACUGGUGUUCGGGUUGUCAUGCCAAUGGCACUGCCCGGUAGCUAAAUGCGGAAGAGAUAAGUGCUGAAAGCAUCUAAGCACGAAACUUGCCCCGAGAUGAGUUCUCCCUGAGACUUUAAGUCUCCUGAAGGAACGUUGAAGACGACGACGUUGAUAGGUCGGGUGUGUAAGCGCAGCGAUGCGUUGAGCUAACCGAUACUAAUGAACCGUGAGGCUUAACCUUACAACGCCGAAGGUGUUU